UACGAAGGGGGCAAGCGUUGUUCGGAAUUACUGGGCGUAAAGGGCGCGCAGGCGGCCGAUCAAGUCAGAUGUGAAAGCCCCGGGCUCAACCUGGGAAUAGCAUUUGGGACUGGUCGGCUAGAGUUCGGGAGAGGAGAGUGGAAUUCCCAGUGUAGAGGUGAAAUUCGUAGAUAUUGGGAAGAACACCGGUGGCGAAGGCGGCUCUCUGGACCGACACUGACG
rnacentral:rRNA from 1 species